rnacentral:rRNA from 1 species
GACGUAGGGGGCGAGCGUUGUCCGGAUUUAUUGGGCGUAAAGCGUGCGUAGGCGGCUGCGCAAGUCGGGUGUGAAACCCCGGGCUCAACCCCGGAACUGCAUCCGAUACUGCGUGGCUAGAGGUAGGUAGGGGAGAUUGGAAUUCCUGGUGUAGCGUGGAAUGCGCAGAUAUCAGGAGGAACACCGAUGGCGGAAGGCAGAUCUCUGGGCCGUAACUGACGCUGAGGAGCGAAAGCAUGGGGAGCGAACAGG